AAAGGCGCGCGAUACAGGGUGACAGCCCCGUACACAAAAGCGCAUGUGCUGUGAGCUCGAUGAGUAGGGCGGGACACGUGGUAUCCUGUCUGAAUAUGGGGGGACCAUCCUCCAAGGCUAAAUACUCCUGACUGACCGAUAGUGAACCAGUACCGUGAGGGAAAGGCGAAAAGAACCCCGGCGAGGGGAGUGAAAAAGAACCUGAAACCGUGUACGUACAAGCAGUGGGAGCACCCUUUGGGGUGUGACUGCGUACCUUUUGUAUAAUGGGUCAGCGACUUAUAUUCUGUAGCAAGGUUAACCGUAUAGGGGAGCCGGAGGGAAACCGAGUCUUAACCGGGCGUUAAGUUGCAGGGUAUAGACCCGAAACCCGGUGAUCUAGCCAUGGGCAGGUUGAAGGUUGGGUAACACUAACUGGAGGACCGAACCGACUAAUGUUGAAAAAUUAGCGGAUGACCUGUGGCUGGGGGUGAAAGGCCAAUCAAACCGGGAGAUAGCUGGUUCUCCCCGAAAGCUAUUUAGGUAGCGCCUCGUGAAUUCAUCUCCGGGGGUAGAGCACUGUUUCGGCUAGGGGGCCAUCCCGGCUUACCAACCCGAUGCAAACUGCGAAUACCGGAGAAUGUUAUCACGGGAGACACACGGCGGGUGCUAACGUCCGUCGUGAAGAGGGAAACAACCCAGACCGCCAGCUAAGGUCCCAAAGUCAUGGUUAAGUGGGAAACGAUGUGGGAAGGCCCAGACAGCCAGGAUGUUGGCUUAGAAGCAGCCAUCAUUUAAAGAAAGCGUAAUAGCUCACUGGUCGAGUCGGCCUGCGCGGAAGAUGUAACGGGGCUAAACCAUGCACCGAAGCUGCGGCAGCGACACUCAGGUGUUGUUGGGUAGGGGAGCGUUCUGUAAGCCUGCGAAGGUGGCCUGUGAGGGUUGCUGGAGGUAUCAGAAGUGCGAAUGCUGACAUAAGUAACGAUAAAGCGGGUGAAAAGCCCGCUCGCCGGAAGACCAAGGGUUCCUGUCCAACGUUAAUCGGGGCAGGGUGAGUCGACCCCUAAGGCGAGGCCGAAAGGCGUAGUCGAUGGGAAACGGGUUAAUAUUCCCGUACUUGGUGUUACUGCGAAGGGGGGACGGAGAAGGCUAUGUUGGCCGGGCGACGGUUGUCCCGGUUUAAGCGUGUAGGUGUGUGUUCCAGGUAAAUCCGGUUCACUUUAACACUGAGGCGUGACGACGAGGCACUACGGUGCUGAAGCAACAAAUGCCCUGCUUCCAGGAAAAGCCUCUAAGCAUCAGGUAACAUCAAAUCGUACCCCAAACCGACACAGGUGGUCAGGUAGAGAAUACCAAGGCGCUUGAGAGAACUCGGGUGAAGGAACUAGGCAAAAUGGUGCCGUAACUUCGGGAGAAGGCACGCUGACAUGUAGGUGAAGUGAUUUACUCAUGGAGCUGAAGUCAGUCGAAGAUACCAGCUGGCUGCAACUGUUUAUUAAAAACACAGCACUGUGCAAACACGAAAGUGGACGUAUACGGUGUGACGCCUGCCCGGUGCCGGAAGGUUAAUUGAUGGGGUCAGCGCAAGCGAAGCUCCUGAUCGAAGCCCCGGUAAACGGCGGCCGUAACUAUAACGGUCCUAAGGUAGCGAAAUUCCUUGUCGGGUAAGUUCCGACCUGCACGAAUGGCGUAAUGAUGGCCAGGCUGUCUCCACCCGAGACUCAGUGAAAUUGAACUCGCUGUGAAGAUGCAGUGUACCCGCGGCAAGACGGAAAGACCCCGUGAACCUUUACUAUAGCUUGACACUGAACAUUGAGCCUUGAUGUGUAGGAUAGGUGGGAGGCUUUGAAGUGUGG
rnacentral:rRNA from 1 species